UUUUUUCGCUCUGCUAUAAAAUAUUAGAGCUCUUUUACGGUGAUUGGGGAGUUACGAAUUGUAAUUUCAUGUAACUCCCCCCUCGAUUAUUUUCCACCGUUGAUUUUAACCUGUUAAUUAAAAAAUUGAGUUUAGUCAAUAAGGGUAUUAUGGUCAUGUGUUUUUUUUUUCAGUACUCCGCUGGUCAAACCCCCGCAUCUGGCUAACCCAUCUCGCGAGAGGGAGGAGCCGGCGCGAGGACCUGGGAGACGGCGGCGCAGGAGUGAGGACCUUGGCCAUGACGUCGGCGCGAGGACCUGCAGGCGAAGACGCCGACGCGAGAUCCAGGAGGCGAAGCCCCGGCUGGUCUUGGUCGUAGUGGCCGCUCCCCCACAUACGUCCCCACCGACGCCGCGUGAGGUUCUGGAGGGGACGCCGCCGCCGCGAGGUAUUGGAGAUCCCGGCUGCACUUGGUCGUAGAACAGAGGUAUCUCUUCCCCUGCCCUCAUCUCUUCCUCCCAUCCUUCCCUCCUCACGCCUUGUGCUGGCGGUGGAGUCAUGGAGCAACUGCACAUUGCAGCACCUUGAAAUAAAAUUCAGUUAGCAGUUAGAGUUCAGAUUGGUAGUGGAUACGCCAGCAGUGCGUUCGCUAGAUUGCGCAACUUCCGCAGCCACUAAUCGCAUGAUUAGCGGCUGGCCCGCGUCCUCGAUGCUUGCAAUGAUGAUGCUGCGCUGACUGUUAGCACGCUGCUGCUGCCACGUUUUUUACAUGCACGAAUCAUCAACACAAAACUCUGAAGGAAAAAGGGAUAUGAUAUGAAUUUUUUUUCAGCAAAGAAUCAUUUGGUUUGUCACACAAACAUACAAGUAGAAAUUGCAGCCUUAAAGUUUCCAGAAUCAACAGUUAACUAUGUAAGCUUAUGGUCAUACUCCUGUAUCAUACACGUACACAAGUUCAGGCCAUACAUGUAUAAAUUCUGUUAACUGUCAAGCCUUUAUUCAGUAAUGAAAUUUUGAAUUUUGGAUUACUUGUAACAGCAUGUUCGAACAACUGAAAUCUUGCUGCAGCAUACACAUACAAGUUCAGGUCAUACAUGUAAACUAUGGCUUGGAACAACUUAACUAGUGCUAAUAACAGUUUCAUAGUUCAGUUGCAUGUGUUUGUUUUGAAGUUUAGAAGAGACACAGGUUCAGAGUUCACAAAUUUCUUACAACAUGUAGCAUUCCCCAGUGGCAUUUGCUGCUUAUAAACUACAGAGAAUACUGGUAAUAAAUCCCACUAAGCAUAGGUAGUGGAGAGGAUCAAAAUUCAGACAUAUGAUAAACUACAGAGAUUCUGCAAUUUCUGAAGAGUAGUUAAAUAUUACUCCCUCCGUCCCAUAAUGUAAGGUGUUUUUUGACACUAGUGUAGUGUCAGUGUGGUGUCAAAAAAGGUCUUACAUUAUGGGACGGAGGGAGUAGUUGCUAUGAUAAUGUUUUCAUAACUAUGAAGAGUGUGUUGUAUGCUGCUUAGAGAUUGUAUAGCUGGAGUGGCCUAACAAUUCUAGAAGACACUAUGCACUGGUUUUCUGUGUAAUAAAUUCAUAAUCUGUAGUAUCAGUCUUAGUGCAAAAAUGGAGACUACAUUUCCAUGGUACUCACAUGCUAUUACUAUUCUUGCAUUAAGAUGUACUACAUAAAACCAAGGCUAAUUUUUUGACUUCCAAGUCCUUACUUUGCCAUGACAAAUCUGCUUGGCCACAGUUCAUGUUAUUUGCCAAAGCAAGUGAAACUCUUACUAUUUUCUAUUAAACUGAAGUGUUCUCAUCGAAAUCUUCUCCAAUGCAUGCAGGACUUUCGUGUAGGAGAAAGCGAGAUGUUCAUAGUCCACGGUUGUCGUCUGAGUUUGUGUAUUCCCUACGGCAGCAAAAAUAACGUCAAUUAUUAAGGCAGCCACCGGUUCAAACAGUGAGCAUCAGGUACUCUGUUUUCAGCACUCUAUAGUUUAAACUCGCUGUGUUUAGUCUAGCAGAUCCUUUUUUUGUGGAAGCAAGUCUACCAGAUUUAGUAUUGACCUUUUCUUCUAUCUUUGUAUACAUGACCGUAGUCAUCAAGGAAAUUUUACACAAUUGUACAACCGACAGAGCAAAGGAUGCCAUAAUACUGAUUUUAUCAUUUCCACCAUGAUUUUCUCUCUUAAUCAACCAUGCUUUCCUGCACAUCACAUAAAAUUAAGUGUACUUAGGAUUGAUUUAGUGCAGUUGCAAUAGUUCUGCACGAGGGAUAUCAUGCGGUAGCCAGCUCUAUUUUUCUUUAUUUUCUAUGCAAUUGAUGAUUCAAUUUAGUUCGUCGUUAGGGCACUAUAAUCAAUGUUUAGUAAUAAAUUUUAGUGAUUGUCCCAUGUAAAGUUGAUUUUCUGGCUGCAGGUUUAUUGUCUGUGUUGGGUGUUCAUUGUAGCAGUAGUGUGAGUACUGGACAGCCUUCUGCCACCAUCGUUUACCUCCGACUCGCCAGCCAGCCGCCAUCGUCUACCUCCUGUCUACCUCGUGCCUCGCCGGACAGCGCAGUCGGCAAACUCUGUCUCACCGGGCAGGCACCGCUGUCUACCUCUGCUUUGUAGUUAAUUGUGUGCUAGCAAUUCCUCCGGAAAACUUGUUAGGUUAUUCUAACUCUGCCAUGUAUCCGUGAUCUUGUUUUCUGAAUAUGUACUUUUUUAGUGAUUUUCAUUUUCAUUUUAUUUAUCAUAGCACUCCCAUGAUUUAUUUCAUUUUCUAGUGUAUACUUUUAAAUUUUUAAAUUUUAUUUUCCCUAAUGGCCAUGGCGUGAGAGAAGACUACUAGCGGGCUUGGGGAUGUUCACUGCUUUGGGCGUUGCACUGAAGAAGUUUUGCCAAAAAGAAAUAAAACUAGAAGCAAAAUUCAAAUUCAGGAGCAUUUUCGGUAAAAAAAUUGUUAAAAAAUAAGUUUCCAUAAAAACUCUCAAAAAUUCACGAUACCCUAUAUUCAAUCUGGGAAAGUUUCUAGAAGUUUUGAUGAAUAGAAAAAAA
rnacentral:lncRNA from 1 species